rnacentral:rRNA from 1 species
GACGAACGCUGGCGGCGUGCCUAAUACAUGCAAGUCGAACGAGAGCGACCGGUGCUUGCACUGGUCAAUCUAGUGGCGAACGGGUGAGUAACACGUGGGUAACCUGCCCAUCAGAGGGGGAUAACAUUCGGAAACGGAUGCUAAAACCGCAUAGGUCUUCGAACCGCAUGGUUCGAAGAGGAAAAGAGGCGCAAGCUUCUGCUGUGGGAUGGACCCGCGGUGCAUUAGCUAGUUGGUGAGGUAACGGCUCACCAAGGCCGUGAUGCAUAGCCGACCUGAGAGGGUGAUUGGCCAGAUUGGGACUGAGACACGGCCCAAACUCCUACGGGAGGCAGCAGUAGGGAAUCUUCCGCAAUGGACGAAAGUCUGACGGAGCAACGCCGCGUGAGUGAAGAAGGUUUUCGGAUCGUAAAACUAUGUUGUUAGAGAAGAAUAAGUGCUAGAGUAACUGUUAGCGCCUUGACGGUAUCUAACCAGAAAGCCACGGCUAACUACGUG